GAUGAACGCUGGCGGCGUGCUUAACACAUGCAAGUCGAACGGAGAUAUCAUGUGAGCGGAGAGUGCUUGCACUUAACAAUCUUUUGAUAUCUUAGUGGCGGACGGGUGAGUAACGCGUGGGUAACCUGCCUCAUACAGGGGGAUAACACUUAGAAAUAGGUGCUAAUACCGCAUAAGCGCACAGUAUCGCAUGAUACAGUGUGAAAAACUCCGGUGGUAUGAGAUGGACCCGCGUCUGAUUAGCUAGUUGGUGAGGUAACGGCCCACCAAGGCGACGAUCAGUAGCCGGCCUGAGAGGGUGAACGGCCACAUUGGGACUGAGACACGGCCCAAACUCCUACGGGAGGCAGCAGUGGGGAAUAUUGCACAAUGGGGGAAACCCUGAUGCAGCGACGCCGCGUGAGUGAAGAAGUAUUUCGGUAUGUAAAGCUCUAUCA
rnacentral:rRNA from 1 species